GCUUACAGUCCCACUACCCUGAGAAUGCCCGAUCUCGUUGAUCUCGGAAGCUAAGCAGUGGCUUUGGCCUGGUUAGUAACUUGGAUGGAAGACCACCUGGGAAUAACAGGUGCUGUAAGCU
ensembl:rRNA 5S_rRNA 5S ribosomal RNA